AUAGACAGAAACACGGCGAGUGGACUGAUCUUCUUCAUUCUUCUGCGAAACUUCUCGAACCAUCUGCCCAGUUCCCUGCCUUGCCUUACAGAGAAACUUAGAUCUAUUAGAAACGUUAUCAAAGAAGCUUAAAUGUACCAACUGAAGUUCCUGCAGAAUCUGCCACCAGGCUGUUAGCGCGCCGAACAACUUGCACGCGAUCUCAAGUCUUUUGAGUUAAAGACAAAAUUUGAGGAUGUCUUCCCCGCUGAGGCAACAAGUGUCGAAGAGUAUUUGCAGCAGGUUCAUGAAAUGACCAUGCUCACAGCUAUUCAGGAGGCUCAGAAGGAUAACGUUAGAAGCUUUAAUGAUUACAUGGUGCAAGUUUUGGAGGACUGGCAAAAGGAAAAGUGGGAUUUUCUUCAAGGCUUGAGUCGGCUUUCUACACUUCCCAGAGCAAGCGGUAGUGUAGGCACAGUGAUUAAUCGUCCUGGUGAAAUGGCUUCCAUUACUUCUAGUCCAGGGGUUUUUACUGGUACCAGGCAUGCUCGUACCUUCAGCAAAUAAUAAGCCUACCCUCGGAAUGAAGGCUUCUAUAUAUGCUGAGGUUGUUAGGAUACUAAAUGACGCAAGAGAAUGAGCCUUUCCAGUUGAGCUUUAUUUCUUCUAGUAUUCAUCAGGUAUUAUAUCCAACUUAUUAUGGAUUGGGUAUGGGUGCGUGCAGUCUUAACAAUCAGUUGGACUUUCGCACCCAUUAUAUGAACCAUGAUAUUGGGCAUACCAAAACUUUCAAGACAUACAAAGGACUAGUCCUAACUUGGGUGUCCUUAUAAGGGGUAGUCCUAACUUGGUUCAAUUACCUAUAUGCCCUUAAAUCCUUUAAAUUACUAAUCUAUCCCUAACCCUAAUACAAAAACCUAUAAUCAAUAAACCUAAAAUCAGUUUCAUAUCCUUAAUCCCUUCUUCUCCCUCCUCCACAACAGCGACCCUUCUUCUUCUUUUUCCUUUUUUUUUUUCAUUGUAUCAUCGCGGAAAUUUAAUUGUCGAUUCGUGAAA